UUUUGCUCAGCCUCUGGCUCCAUUUUGUUUUCUCCAACCUUCUUUGAUCCAAUUCGUACGAUUAGCUCGCCCUGGGGCUCCUUCCCGAGCUGAUCUGAGUCGCAGCCAUGGACGGCGAGUUCGAGUUUGCUGACAAGGUCACUCCCGCCUUCGAUCGGACGAUGCUGAUUUGUUGGAAAUUAGGGUACUUUCUCUCAUAUCAUCUUGGAUUUAUUGAGUUCCGUUUUGUGGGUUAAAGAUGCAAAUGUGCCCUUCUCCUACACGAGGAUCUUCCAGUGAUGAUGUAUGUAAAUUUAGGUACUCUGUAGGUGGCAUGGUUAUGAUGAUGCAUGUAUGAAUGGCACUGGCAUUGAGCAAAGAAGUUCUGAUGCAUCCCCGCUUCAUCAAGAGCUAUUCAUUGGGAUUUGGAGUGGCUGCAGCUAUUCGUAGGACUGCCCUUAUAUCAUAUUAUGGCACGGUGAUUAUCACUAGAAAAGUUUUUUGGAGGCCUCAAGUGUUGGGUGUUUACUAUAAACGCUAUCAGAAAAACCCAUUUCUUCGAAAUUUUUCUACGGGCACUCACCCUGAAAGGAUAUGUUGGGAAGGCUCCUCUCAUGCAGUUCUGUUGAGGAAGAUUGAAACUGCCUUGAAGGAUCAUCAAUUGGAUGAAGCAUGGGAAUCUUUUAAUGAUUUUAAAAGAUUGUAUGGUUUUCCUAAGGAUACUCUUGUGGGUAGGUUAAUAACUGAACUUUCUUAUUCAUCUGACCCCCACUGGCUUAAAAAAGCAUGUGAUUUAGUCUUGAUAGUUUUGAAAGAGACAUCAGGCCUACUUCAGCCAGCUAUCCUCUCUAAGCUGUCCCUCUCGUUAGCAAGAUCUCAAUUGCCUAUCCCUGCCACAAUGAUUCUGAGAUUGAUGCUGGAGAGAGAGAGUUUGCCCCUGAUGAAUGUAUUGUGGUUGGUUGUUCUCCAUUUGGUGAAGACAGAAGUUGGGACGUAUAUUGCGUCAAAUUUCUUGGUUCAGAUUUGUGAUCGUUUCCAACGCUUAAGUGCGAACAAAAGUGAUCGUGUAAAACUGUUAAAACCUGAUACAAUGAUAUUUAACCUGGUGCUCGAUGCUUGUGUGAGGUUUAAAUUAUCUUUCAAAGGUCAACGGCUUAUUGAAUUGAUGCCACAGACAGGGGUUGCAGCUGAUGCACACUCAAUCACUAUAAUUGCCCAGAUCCAUGAGAUGAAUGGUCAGAGGGAUGAAGUGAAGAAAUUUAAAGACCACAUUGAUCAAGUUUCAGCUCCAUUUGUUUGUCAUUAUCGGCAGUUCUAUGAUAGUUUGUUGAGCUUGCACUUCAAGUAUAACGACAUCGAUGCUGCUGCUGAGCUUGUGAUGGAUAUUUAUAGAUACUCAGAGUCUUCUCCAAUUCAAAAUGAUAGGAAGGAACUACAAAAGCUUUGCCUUGUUCCAGUGGGAUCUGACAAUCUCAAGACAGCGUUAAAAAUGCAGAUUGUGCCUGAUAUGCUGCAGAAGGAUUCUGUACUCAAAGCGGAAGGUAAACGGGAACUUGUUAUUUUUAGGAAUGGGAAACUUGCUGUUAGUGACAGGGCUCUGGCCAAGCUCAUUAAUGGGUGCAAGAGAGGUGGGAAGAUUAGUGACCUUUCAAAACUUUUAGUUAGCAUUCAAAAGAAGUCGCAUUCAUUGGCAGGACCUAGUUUGUGUUCUAAUGUAAUUGGCGCUUGUAUUAAUUUAGGCUGGCUUGAAAUGGCUCACGACAUUUUGGAUGACUUGGAAGCAGCUGGGGCUCCCAUGGGCUUUACUACUUAUUCGUCACUCUUUGCAGCCUACUACAAGGAAAAUUUGUUUAGAGAAGCAAAGUCAUUGCUAAAACAAAUGAGAAAAGUUGGUUUGGUCUUAAAUUUGUCUGAUGAGAUGGUUAUUUCCACUUGUCUAUCGGAAGCAGUAGAUAAAGAUGCCACAAAAGCAAAUGCAUCUUCUUUUAUCAGUAAAUCAGAUCUGACAGAGUUUUUGGUUCGAGAAACAGGAGAGGCGGAGAACACGGUUUCUCCAAUAGUUUGCCAGUUCAAUUCUUCUAUUUACUUUUUCUGCAAGGCCAAAAUGGUGGUGGAUGCUUUGAAGACGUACAGAAAAAUGCAAGAGAUGAAAAUCCAGCCAACAGAGCUAACUUUUUCCAAUUUGGUAUACGGAUAUUCUUCUAUGGGAAUGUAUCGCGAUAUCACGAUAUUGUGGGGGGACAUUAAGAGGAAUAUGCAGAGUGGAGAUUUGGUGGUAAGCAGAGAUCUGUAUGAAUUCUUGCUUCUGAGCUUUCUUCAAGGUGGUUACUUUGAGAGAGUGAUGGAGGUGGUUGGGUAUAUGAAAAAACAUAGAAUGUACAUUGACAAGUGGAUGUACAAAAGUGAGUUUCUAAAGCUCCAUAAGAAUCUUUACAGAAGGUUAAAAACAUCAAAAGCUAGAAAUGAGGUUCAAGGCAAAAGGCUCGAGUAUGUCCAGGCCUUCAGAAUAUUGGUUGGAAUAGAUUGAAAAUUCAAUGAAAAGUUCUCAAAUACAUGGGAUGCUGUGAAGCACCAAAAACAAAACCCAAUCAUUGUUUAUUUGUUUGCAAAUAACAUGAGAAUUCAAUGUUUCUGGUGAGUCCCAAUUACCAAGAUAGAGAGAGGGAUAUAAGUAUAACGACGACAUUUCCGAGUUUUGUGUUUAAUUCUAUGGUUGACGAGAUUGGUACGUAGAAAGGAAAUAGCUUAGGAACAUUCUGCAGCUGGACCCAGUCGCAUGCCGGCCUAGGCGCCGCGACUAAAACGGCGUGGAGGCGGUGGGAAUACUCCUUACCCUUGUCAAUCAAUUGUGUGCCUGCGUCGUUGUCACUGAUUAAUAAUCCCUCUCCUCGCUCCCUUUUCACGUGCCCAAAUCUCAUACUCAAAAAAAAAGAAAAAAAAAAAAAAGCUUAGGAACAUUCUGCAGCUGGACCCAGUUGUAUGCUGGCCUACGCGCCGCGACUAAAACGGCAUGGAGGCGGUGGGAACACUCCUUACCCUUGUCAAUCAAUUGUGUGCCUGCGUCGUUGUCACUGAUUAAUCAUCCCUCUCCUCGCUCCCUUUUCACGUGCCCAAACCUCCAAAUCUCGUACUCAAAAGAAAAAGAAAAAGAAAAAAAAUACUAGUGAGCAGGGACUGGGGUAGGUGUUGCAGUCCCCAACUCUUCAUGCCUUCGAUUCACAGAUUCAAUCUUGGUCAUCCAUUUUUUUGUUUCUUCAUUUUUUAUUUUUAAUGACUAAUGUUAUUUAGUAGACGGAUAUAUGACUAUUAUACAAAUAAGAUAAUAGCAGUGAAGUUAUUUCCC